AGCAGCCGCGGUAAUUCCAGCUCCAAUAGCGUAUAUUAAAGUUGUUGCAGUUAAAAAGCUCGUAGUUGAAUUUCGGGAUCAAUAUGUCGGUCGUGCCAUCGGUACGUACUGGUAUCAUUGGUUUCUCCUUUCUGACGAACCAUGAUGUCAUUAAUUUGGUGUUAUGGGGAGUUAGGACUGUUACUUUGAAAAAUUAGGGUGUUUAAAGCAGGCUCACGCUUGAAUACAUUAGCAUGGAAUAACGGAAUAGGACGUUUGAUUCUAUUUUGUUGGUUUCUAGGAUCGACGUAAUGAUUAAUAGGGAUAGUUGGGGGCAUUAGUAUUCAAUUGUCAGAGGUGAAAUUCUUGGAUUUAUUGAAGACUAACUACUGCGAAAGCAUUUGCCAAGGAUGUUUUCAUUAAUCAAGAACGAAAGUUAGGGGAUCGAAGACGAUCAGAUACCGUCGUAGU
rnacentral:rRNA from 1 species